GAAUCCUCUGUCGUUGGCGCCUCAUCGGGGCUGGCGGGAUCGCGAAU
rnacentral:sRNA from 1 species